GAAGCGGGGCGCUGGAGGGUCCGGGUGCGGGGCCCACCUGGCGGGUCGGCUCCGAGGCGCUCGCGAUCCGCUCGGGCCGCGCUCCCUCCCGGCCCUGCCCGCCGCACCCCCCCUCCCCCCGCCAGGAAGCGGGCCCCGCCCCCCGCCCGACCGGUCCCGCCGCGCACGGCCCUCCGGGUUGCGUCAGGCUCGGCUCGCCGGGAGCCGCCUCCCUCCUCCGCCGGGAGCCACGCCGGGGCACCGCGGGGCGCGGGGCCGAGCUGGGCCAGGGGCGGCUCCGUGCUGGCGCGUCCCCGGCCGCCGGCCACCUCGGUUCAGCCGGCCACUCGAGGUGCCCCGGGGAAGGCGGAGCAGGCCACCCUCCAAAGAACGCAGGCUCCCGUCGGUCUCUCCCCACCUCCAGCCCUGCUUGGACCUAGGACUUGAGCUGCCCUGCGUGUGUGCCGAGGAGGAUGGGCUGUGACCGUGCCCAGAUGACUGUGCCCCCGGCGGCAGGUGCCAGCCAAGGUACUGACCCCAGACCCCCACCCCCUUGACCUCCCUGUCACCUUCCCCAUCCCUCACGUCCAGCUGGAUGCCUAGACCGUCACUGUGGCCACCGCACAGGAACUUCUACUCUCACCGGCUCUGAGCUAACCACGAGAUGGUGGUCGGCGGCGCCACUCCAGGCAGGACCCCCGCCUGCAGCCCCCACCGUGUCUCCAUUCACGCCUCCACAGCAGGUGCAUCCAGCCCACUCUCCCCCAUCACUGGGUGACUGUCCCACCUGCCCGUCUCUGCCAACUCCCCGACGUAGCGUCUUCGUCCUGAUGCUCAGCUGAGAGUCCAUCCGGAGAGGCUUCCAACAACCCAGCCACACCACCACCCCUGGGUGCGUACUCAGCCAGGCUGCCUGUGGUCUCAGCCAGGCCUCCUCACUGCAUCAGCCUGGCCGCCCCCACGCCCGUCUUCAGCCCACGGCUGGUGACCCUCAGCGCCCAACCGUGUCUUCUAGAGGCCCCGCCCCCACGCCCCUCCAGCAGCACCCCAAGCGCUCUGCUCCUCAGGGUGCACGUCCGUGGAAAGGCCCCCUGCCACCUCCACUAGCCUCCAGGCUCACAAAUCACAUCAGGCAAGACCAGAGAAGCCCCCUGAGCCGCCCCAGUGCCCAGGCCUCUGGCCUCCCUGUGCGUCCACCCGUUCCCCACUUCUGUCUCUGGGAAGCCCCUUCUGCAUGGGGUCCUGACCUGCCUCACCGACUCCCUCCUGCCAGCCCCCUUUACCGCAUCUUCUUGACGCGUGUGUCCUGAGAAGUUCCCCUCUGCUCUGCCCUGAACUGUGUCCUGCCUAACUUCCUGUACUGAAGCCUACCGGACCUUAGGGGGGUGACAAAGUCAUGAGGAUGGGUCCCAAAAAUGGCAUUAGUGCCCUUAUAACAAGAGACGGAAGAGGUUGUCUCCAGAAUGUGAGGACACAGCCGGACAGUGGCCAACUCUCAGCCAGCAAUAGAGCCUCGCCAAGAAUCGUGCCGGCGCCCUGAUCUCCGACUUCCAGCCUCCAGAACUGUGGGAAGUGGAUGGUUGAAGUCGUCAGCCUGUGGUGUUUUGAUGGAGCAGCCCACACUCCCUGAACCGCCUCUCCAGAGACCGUUCUCUGCCUGUUAACAUCUCCGGGCCCUCAGAAGCAGGGACGGGACACUGUGCCAGGACUGACAUGGCCCACAUGCUCCCUGGCCACUUGUAUCUCCCGGUGGAUCUGCACAGCCAGAGGCUUUCGGGAAGCGUGGUGCCUGUCCCCAUGACAGCUGGGGUCCCCUCAGCCUGCCCGUGCCAGGGGGAGUGCCCCAGUUGCACUGCUCAAACCCUAGGAACUGCCUUCAAGUGCCACUUUCCCACCAGCACGCCCAACCCGCCCAAGUAUAUCCAGAGCCCCCGGCACUGUUCACUCCCCCUUCUAGCCAAGCCUGUGAUUUCUCACCAGGAGAACGACCCCGACCUAGAAGACCCUCCUGGUCCUCAUCUGCUCUCCACUCCACCAACGCUGGCCUCAGCACUGUGCCUCAACACAUUCGACCCGCUGCCACCUCAGGGCCUUUGCAUGGACCAUUCCCUCAGCUCUACCCCAGCCUUGUGGCUCCUUCGCUUUGGUGCAGUCCUGCUCCAAUGUCACUUUCUCAGAGAUGUUACUUUCUCCCCGCUGCCUUCCUAAAGAGGCCCCGGCCCCCGUAUCACUCCUCAGCACCUCCCGCACCUGACGAGCCAUCGCCCCACGGGAGCAGGGACUCCCCCGCCCCCCUGCCCCCGCCGCUUUCCCCUGUCUUGGCACAAGCUUGAAUGAGUGAAGCCUCAUGGGCAUCUGAGAAGAGCCCCCACGGGCCCUGGCGCUCCUCACCUCUUUCGGCAUCCUUGAACUUGAUGGUUCUGCGCCGGGGCAGCCGGGGGCUGGUGGCCACCUCGGCCAGGAGCCCGGAGCCACAGAAGCCCAGGCCUCUGCCCCGGGUCUGGAGCACCAGCUUCAGCUCCUGGUUCUCCUGGAUGAGCUGCACAAGCCGUCGCAACUCUUCAUUCUCCUGGGCCAGCCGCUGGAUCUCCCGCCGCAGACCCUCGUAGCUGCUGAGGGGGGACAUGCCCGGCAGCAGGGGGGGCAGCUGCCAGCAGCUGUCGCCUGGCCAGGAGUAGCAGACCCCGUCAUUGUGAGGUCAGCGGCCGCCCCUGCCCCCGGGCCUCAGCUGCAUUCCGGGUGUCAGAGCCAAGGCCCCUUGAGCAGGGCACACCUGACCUCUGACCUCUGGUCCCUGAGGGCCAAAUGACUAGAGGAGCCCAGACCUGUCGAGAGCCUGGAGUCCUCUUGGAGGACGGAAGCUUCUUUAUGCCAGCCUGGCACGGAGGUGCUGCAGGGAGUGGGAGUAAAAGACCCAGGCCUCCCCAUCCCCCAUCUGGCUGCCCACUGGCCCCCAGCUGCAGCAUACCCCCCACCGCCCGUGCCAGCUCACGGGGCUGGGUGACGGCUCGGUCCCCGAGGUGGUCACACAGCCAGCAGGACAUCUCAAGGGGCCAGGACAGUGGCUGUUUGAGCUGCCCCGCGGGAGGGGCGCCUCUGGCCUAGAAAUAGCAGGAGCUGCACAGCGAGGUGGGGGGGGGUGGUGGGUCAGGGUCCGGGGGACGCGGCUAAGUCGGCAAGUGCAUCAGGACAGGGCUGGAGGCACAGAGAUGGGGCAGGGAUGGCAGGGGGCAGCUGUGUCAGGUGGAGGGCAGGCCGCCCGGAAAGUAUGCUAUACCCCUCAGGCCCCACGGCACGCUCCCCCACCUGCGGGCCCCACGGCACACCCCCGCCGCAGGGGAACCACCCCAAAGAGUAACCACCCAGCUUACAUUUUAGAGCAUAUGAAGGACUUCCUUCUUUCAUGCGAUGUGCCCUCUACCGGCACAGCUCUCUGCCUCCGCUGUCAUUGUCUGUCCUUUCCUUGUAUUAUGAUUGGCGUUUACUUCGCCAUCAUCUCCUGCCUGCUGACCCCCUCAGCACAGUUGCCACUUGUAGACCCGAAGUCCUCCUGGGAUUUGCACGCCCUUCCCCAGCUAUUUCAGUGUGGCCUGGCCAGCUCCAGGGGUCUUCACAGAGCAGACUGCAGGGGAGGCUGACAGCAGUGCCCCAGGGGACGGGGUGGGACCCGUGCUCAAUCUCAAAGGAAAUGGUGACAAUUUUAAUAGUUCCUAUAACUAGGAAGUGUCCUGAUUCUGACCAUGAUGGAGUAGAGUAUUUCUGAAAGGACUAGACAUCUUACCUCAAGGGCGUGACAGGCUCAGGGCAGUCGUGGCCGGGACUGGUCUGUGAGCAGAAUACUAAGGCCCCCGAGGUCACGGGCCCUACAUAAUCCCAGAACAAAAUGGAUUUUACCCCA